CAAUCAACUUGGCAUGAGCCAAGGAUUCAGAGAAAAAUAUAAUGUUCCUUCUGUACCUUAUGGUUCAAACGUUAUUAGCAGACAUUUUUUGAAAGUUUGGACAAAUGGUGGCGCUAGAGAGCUGGAGUUAGAGACUUUAAAUUUGCGAUGGUUAAUGUUGACACUGUCCUCUAUGAGUGUGCCAAAUUUCACAACUUUCCCGCAGUCGGUUCUAUGGGCUGCCAUAGACUUGCGGCGGAAGCGGAAGAAUAAUAAUAAUAAUAAUAAUAAUAAUAAUAAUAAUAAGAAUCCUAACGGAUACAAUAGGUGCCUAAACACCUUCGGUGCUUGGCCCCUAAUAAUAAUAAGAA
ensembl:lncRNA